GACGUAGGGCGCGAGCGUUGUCCGGAUUUAUUGGGCGUAAAGAGCUCGUAGGCGGCUUGGCGCGUCGGCCGUGAAAACCUGCAGCUCAACUGCAGGCUUGCGGUCGAUACGGGCAGGCUAGAGUUCGGUAGGGGAGACUGGAAUUCCUGGUGUAGCGGUGAAAUGCGCAGAUAUCAGGAGGAACACCGGUGGCGAAGGCGGGUCUCUGGGCCACUACUGACGCUGAGAAGCGAAAGCAUGGGGAGCGAACAGG
rnacentral:rRNA from 1 species